CACAAAGAGAUAAUUCGAUGAGUAUAAAAAGACCCCAAGAAAGUUUACAAUUUAUUGUUUUUCUCUCUAUUUUUGUGUUUCUCUCUCCUCAUGAACAGUUGUGGGAAAUGUUGUCUGGUGCGAGAUCGUUCAUCUCUUUGAAUUUCAACCUCUCGGGAAUCAAACUCGUCAACUUUGGAAUGAUUUCGGACCAGGCUUCAUUCCCCUCAACACCCAUCAUGUUAAAUCUUUCGUCUCGAUGUCGAAACUUGGCUUUCUUUCUCAAUCUAAAGCUUGGGUUCGCUGUUCCGUUGGCCCGUCUCGACAAGUCCUCGGCGUCGAUUACUGACACAUACAUAUAUGCAGGUCUGUGAAAGGUUGUUCUAAUUCACCAACUUUUACUAUUUUGUGAGGUAUUUCUGUUGUGUUGGGGAAGUUCGAAAGAAAUAAGGUGUGAAGAAUCACGGGGUGACUGUAAUGAGUAGAAAACUCACUCACCGGCCUAAAUGACAAGCAAACCCUCGAACAUGAGAGCAAGGGAUCACCCAAGGAAUGGACGAGCUCUAAGGAGGGAGGCAAGAACCAUGCUUUCAGAGACUUAACUCAAUCCCCUGGUCUAAAUCUUAUUUGAAUUGCGAGAAUAACUGACCAAGUCAUGCACAUAUAUAUAUAUAUAUACACACUCAUUCUCCAAAUGUUGCGGGGCAAAACCUUUAGGUUGUUUAAGUAGAAUGGGUGACAAAUCGGCCAUAGUAGUACUGCAAUAUUAUAAACUAUAAACUAGGGCAACAAAUUUCGAGCAUACGAUGAUGCCGCCCGUUUUAUUUUGUGGAAGUCUCCGCUAGAAGAAAGAAAGGAUGGUAGGUGAUGGCGCGUUCUACGAGUACAAAAUUUUGAUAUAAUUGUUGUGGGCCAAUAAUGAAUAGGGUAUGGUCACAUGGGUAUGGUGUAAAUUGGCUAUAAUGUAAACUAUAAUACAACUGAAGUUAACUACAGUGUAUGCAGAAAGAGGAGGAUGAAUGUCAGUGUGGUCCAUUAAUAACUAGACUUCGAGCUUAGGAGCCGUGCAAGAUGAAAGCCUCAUGCACGGUUUUGAAUGAGAGAAAGACGUGGAGGAUCCUCGUUUUUAGCUCUUAACUCUCCCGCUCCGGUCGUUGCUUUUGUAGAGUUGUUGGGUGAAAGGGUCCGGAAAUUAAAUGGUAUGGUUGAGAAGAAAAUAAUGAUAAAAAUAAAAUAAGAAAGAGGUAACAUGUGAAGAUCAUAAAUAGAGGUGGGUCAUAAACUCCAUGUAAUGUUGGGAUGCUAAGAAACAAUGGCUCUUUCAGCCAGCCAGCAUUUAACACACUCAUGACUCAAUAGUGACCCUAGAAACUAACACCUUGUGUAUGAACAAAUUGAUUGCUCGAGGGCCGAAAAAAAAUAAUUAAUUUAUAAAUUUAGACCGUGAACUUUUAUAUUUGUGACAAAGGAAAAUAACAUCGAUAUAAGAACCUAAAUUAGUUCUAAUUACUUUUGAAAUGGUGCAAAAGAUCGAAAAAACUGUGUUUAGCGCUUAAGACGCUAAUGAGUUUAAGAGUCGGGAUAGACAUUGCAACGUUUGAAUUUCCAAUAAAAUGGGAGUAUAUGAUGAGGAAGGUCACCGAAAGGUUGC